GCGGUGUGUUCAUUCCAUUCCUUGCUUCGCCAAGGAAGCAGAAUUUUCACAGCUUCUCCACUGUUUUAUAAACGAACGACAUAUAAGGCCGUCCUUUUUCCUUGCUUCACCAAAGAACCAGCCUUUUUAUUUAAUCCACGGGUUCUCCACUGUUUUAUUGUUCAUUUGUUAAGAUUGUUAUAGUUAUUGUGUAGGUAUUUUACACUUAGUUUACUGUUCAGGUACCCAUUUCCUUUAUUUAAUCCGCGGCUUCUCUGCUGUUGUUUUGUUCGUUUAUUACAAUUAUAGUUAUUUGAAUCCUUUUCUUUGCCUGACUGCCUGCCCAUAUAAGGCGCUCCGCUGUUUUUUUGUGAAGCAGCCUUUACGCAGCUUAUUCGCUAUUUUAUAAACGAACGCCAUAUAAGGCCGUCGUUUUUGCUUGCUUCGAAAAGGAAGCAGCCUUUUUAUUUAAUCCACGGGUUCUCCGCUGUUUUAUUGUUCGUUUAUUACGAUUGUUAUAGUUAUUGUGUAGGUGUUUUAUACUUUGUUUACUGAUCAAGUACCCAUUCCCUUUAUUCUUCCAA